CCACUAAAACGGAAAUAUAUUAGUUUUAUAAUAUAAGGUCAAAUUUAUACAUGAAUAAUUAUAAUGAAUGUUGCCCUUGCACAGGCAGCAGUUUUGCAAAUUUAUCACAAAUUCAUUUUUCAAUAACCAUCUUUUCCUGUUUCGGUCAUAUGCUAAUUUCAUUAUGUCAGAUACCGGAAGCUGUACAACAAGAAGUCGCGGAAGUGGAGCCUGUACACAAUGAAGGUCGACAAGGACUAUGGCUACAUUCCUGACCUCUAGAGGGCCAUCCUCCGUAGCUGCACCACAGCAGACAGAGGCAUGCCGCGUGUGAGACGCCAGAGGCCUGAUGACCCGCGGCAGUAUGGUGUGCUAUGUGGUAUUCCACCUCCAACCACAGAGGAGCUACUGUACACACAAGUCAGUCGACGACAAGGGCCAAGGACUACCUAAGUGAGCAGCCGACCAUAGGAGAAGACGUGACCCCUGCGACACCUCACCUGAGUCGAUCCCACCUACACCCCUACUAUGGCCACCACUCAAAAAUACUGACCAGGGGUCAGACAUGUUCUAUAGGCCUAGCCCCACUGAAAGAUGGUGUACUUAUUUUUUAAUUUACCUUUUUUUAAACUUUUUUUGUGGUGUGUUAUGAAUGUUUGGGAUUGUCAUCUAUAUUUUUGAAUGUAAUAAAAGUGUUACCCAAGUGAGCUGAAUUUCUUUACUGCAUGGUAUUGACACUGGCAGUCGUGAACAAAAAAAGCAGGUGGUCAUCCUUCAAUGGAUUUAUUUUUACAAAAACAAUGGCAAGAAUAACAAUAAGUAAAAUGUAAAUACUCUACAAAAAUAUCACAUCACACAGGAGGGGUGGGGGGGGGGGGGUUGUUUCAGAGCCUGUGUGGGAUAAAGCCCACAUAUUGGUGGUGGGGGUCAGGAUAUCUGUAGCAGGGAAAUGCAGUUCUGUGGUGGCUGGCCACAGCACUUCCUUUCCACGUCAGUGGGCAUUUCCCUGCACCUCAUGCAGACACACCUCA